AGGUGCUGUAUUGCUGUUGAACUCUUGUUCCUUGUACAUUGAUGAUGAAGAUCGGUUGCAGCGAGUACUUCCACAUGUGAUAGCAAUGCUGUCGGAUCCAGCUGCAAUUGUUCGUUGUGCUGCCUUAGAGACUUUAUGUGAUAUUCUUCCUUUGGUUAGAGAUUUUCCUCCAAGUGAUGCCAAAAUUUUUCCAGAGUAUAUUCUCCCUAUGCUUUCCAUGCUUCCUGAUGACCCAGAGGAGAGUGUUAGGAUUUGUUAUGCUAGCAAUAUAUCGAAGCUUGCACUAACAGCGUAUGGUUUUCUGAUUCACUCAAUAAGCUUGAGUG
rnacentral:misc_RNA from 1 species